rnacentral:rRNA from 1 species
GACGAACGCUGGCGGCGUGCCUAAUACAUGCAAGUCGAACGCAGUGGGGACGGGUGAGUAACCCGUGGGUAACCUCCCCAUCAGAGGGGAUAACAAUUGGAAACAGGUGCUAAACCGAUACUGAUGGAUGGACCCGCGGUGCAUUAGCUAGUGGGUGAGGUAACUGCUCACCAAGGCCACGAGGCAUAGCCGACCUGAGAGGGUGAUCGGCCACACGGGGACGGAGACACGGCCCAGACUCCUACGGGAGGCAGCAUUAGGGAAUCUUCGGCAAUGGACGAAAGUCUGACCGAGCAACGCCGCGUGAGUGAAGAAGGUUUUCGGAUCGUAAAACUCUGUUGUUAGAGAAGCGGUAUCUAACCAGAAAGCCACGGCUAACUACGUGCCAGCAGCCGCGGUAAUUC